rnacentral:rRNA from 1 species
GCUUGUCUCAAAGAUUAAGCCAUGCAUGUCUAAGUCCAAGCUGUGUUCACACGGCGAGACCGCGGACGGCUCAUUAAAUCAGUCGUGGUCCAAAUGGGCCAGUGCAAAUCCUACUUGGAUAACUGUGGUAAUUCCAGAGCUAAUACAUGCAACUGAUAUCCCGAAGGCGGUGUUGGGGCUUGCUUGCCUUGCGCUGCGCUGCUCUGACGGAUGCUUUUAUUAGACCAAGCCGCUGAGGACUUGAGGGUUCGCGCUCUCUUGUUUGACUCGUGUGAUGGUGACUCUGGAUAACCAAAUUCUGACAAGCGCACGUACUUCUCUUCUGAGCGAGACGGCGCUGCCACUUUCGAGUGUCUGCCUUAUCAGCUAUCAACCGUUCGUUAUGCGCGACCGAUGGCUUUGACGGGUAACGGGGAAUCAGGGUUCGAUUCCGGAGAGGCAGCCUGAGAGACGGCUACCACGUCCAAGGACGGCAGCAGGCACGCAAAUUACCCAAUCCCAGCAAAUGGGGGAGGUAGUGACGAAAUCUAACGAUGCGGGCGCCCUUUCUGGGGCCCCGCAAUCGGAAUGGGCACUUUCUAAACAACCUGUUGAGAACCUACUGAAG